rfam:Dipodomys ordii contig_13886, whole genome shotgun sequence.
GGGAAUGUGGCUUAGCGGUAUAGCACUUGCCUUGCAUGCAUGAAGCCCUGGGUUUGAUUCCUCAGCACCA